AUGGGUGGAAGGUCUGUUGUUUCCGUUGAUGACUUGGAGUUUGAUUCCUCGCCUAAUAAUGUCAAGACAUUGGUUUUGUUUGGGCGAACUGACAAUGGCAAGAGUGCAACCGAUAACACUAUUCUUGAAAAAAAGGUUUUCAAGUCAAAGACAAGCUCCUCCAGUGUCACCGCCUCGUGUGAAAUAAAGAGAGCUGUGAUGAAUGAUGGACAAGUCAUUAAUGUUAUUGACAGUGCAUAUAUAUAUAUAUAUAUAUAUAAAGUUAAAUAUGGUUUUAAUUUCUAUAUAUAUUUUCAUAAGAAUGUCCUGAAACAUUCUCCUCAUACUGUUUUUGGGAUGUCAUUAGCAUGCAUUGU